GAUGCUCCAGUGAAAGAUGGUGGAUAAAUAGGAAGUGACACUAGCCUCUCCCUCCCCGGCCCCCGUGUGCGUUUUCUAGCCGCUGGAUCACACGCUGUUCCCCCCUCUCCCCACUGGCUUCCUGCUCUUGCUACCUUCAGCGCUUUCAUCCCGGCGGUCUCUUUGGUGCAUUUUCCUUGCCUUGCUUUAGGAAAGCCGAUUCCUUUCAGUGGUUGAGUUUCCUGGUCUCCACAUACGACUCGUCCGGGAUUACUGCCUCUUGGCCUCUUACCAUUUCAUUCACAAGGAGCUGACUUUGAGGCUCAGUGGAUCCGAACCUUCCCCACCAUGGUGCGGUCACCGUGCAUGUGAGACAGCAAGAUCCGUGCCUCCCUGGGCCAGGCUCACAGGCGACACAGCUACUUCUCAGAGGCGAAGGGUGUCAUGGGGAAGCCCGAGGUUCCUGCUACGGAAGUGUGGGUGUUCUGUGCCAGGGCGGAUGGCUCCCCUCUCCUGACAUCCUGAUGGGCUGCACUUGGCGUUCAAGAAAGAUUUCCUUUACCAGCCCCUUGCCCGUCAUGUGGGGUCUGCCAAUAAAGU
ensembl:lncRNA